UAGAGUUUGAUCCUGGCUCAGAACGAACGCUGGCGGCAGGCCUAACACAUGCAAGUCGAACGCCCCUUCGGGGGAGUGGCAGACGGGUGAGUAACGCGUGGGAACCUUCCCUGUGGUACGGAAUAGCUCCGGGAAACUGGAAUUAAUACCGUAUACGCCCUUCGGGGGAAAGAUUUAUCGCCAUAGGAUGGGCCCGCGUCGGAUUAGCUAGUUGGUGAGGUAACGGCUCACCAAGGCUACGAUCCGUAGCUGGUCUUAGAGGAUGAUCAGCCACACUGGGACUGAGACACGGCCCAGACUCCUACGGGAGGCAGCAGUGGGGAAUAUUGGACAAUGGGCGCAAGCCUGAUCCAGCCAUGCCGCGUGAGUGACGAAGGCCUUAGGGUUGUAAAGCUCUUUUGGCGGGGACGAUAAUGACGGUACCCGCAGAAUAAGCCCCGGCUAACUUCGUGCCAGCAGCCGCGGUAAUACGAAGGGGGCUAGCGUUGUUCGGAAUCACUGGGCGUAAAGCGCACGUAGGCUGACUGGCCAGUUGGGGGUGAAAUCCCGGGGCUCAACCUCGGAACUGCCUUCAAUACUGCCAGUCUUGAGUCCGAGAGAGGUGAGUGGAAUUC
rnacentral:rRNA from 1 species